GACGAACGCUGGCGGCGUGCUUAACACAUGCAAGUCGAACGGUGAAGCGCCUUCCUUUUUGGUGGGUGUGGAUGUGUGGCGAACGGGUGAGUAACACGUGAGUAACCUGCCCCCUUCUUCUGGAUAACCGCAUGAAAGUGUGGCUAAUACGGGAUAUUCUGGGUCUGUCGCAUGAUGGGUCUGGGAAAGAUAUUGUUUCGGUGGGGGAUGGGCUCGCGGCCUAUCAGCUUGUUGGUGGGGUGAUGGCCUACCAAGGCGGUGACGGGUAGCCGGCCUGAGAGGGUGGUCGGUCACACUGGGACUGAGACACGGCCCAGACUCCUACGGGAGGCAGCAGUGGGGAAUAUUGCACAAUGGGCGCAAGCCUGAUGCAGCGACGCCGCGUGAGGGAUGGAGGCCUUCGGGUUGUGAACCUCUUUCGCCAGUGAAGCAGGCCUGCCUCGUUUGUGGGUGGGUUGACGGUAGCUGGAUAAGAAGCGCCGGCUAACUACGUG
rnacentral:rRNA from 1 species